rnacentral:rRNA from 1 species
CCUACGGGAGGCAGCAGUGGGGGAUAUUGCACAAUGGGGGAAACCCUGAUGCAGCGACGCCGCGUGGGCGAAGAAGUAUUUCGGUAUGUAAAGCUCUAUCAGCAGGGAAGAAGAAAUGACGGUACCUGAGUAAGAAGCACCGGCUAAAUACGUGCCAGCAGCCGCCGUAAUACGUAUGGUGCAAGCGUUAUCCGGAUUUACUGGGUGUAAAGGGAGCGCAGGCGGCACGGCAAGCCUGAUGUGAAAGCCCGGGGCCCAACCGCGGGCCAGCAUUGGGAACUGCCGGGCUGGAGUGCCGGAGAGGUAGGCGGAAUUCCUAGUGUAGCGGUGAAAUGCGUAGAUAUUAGGAGGAACACCAGUGGCGAAGGCGGCCUACUGGACGGUGACUGACGCUGAGGCUCGAAAGCGUGGGGAGCAAACAGGAUUAGAUACCCUUGUAGUC